GUCGUAUAAAGAUGUAUUAGAUGCAAGACAAUCUAGCAUUUCCCUUUACGGCAUUGUAAUGAAAUUAGAAAUUCAAACAAAAGCAAUUGUUGUAUGGUUAAUAAUCGAAACAAUUUGAGUUUGGACGGAAGAGGUUAACCGUAUGACCUUGUGUUGAAAAACAUUAGAAAGAAUCUUAAAUAACGAUUUCUGAAAUUUCGUUAUUUUAAGUUACGGUAAC
ncrna:unclassified sequences IS605-orfB-I RNA